rnacentral:rRNA from 1 species
UACGGGGGGGGCAAGCGUUGUUCGGAAUUACUGGGCGUAAAGGGCUCGUAGGUGGCCAACUAAGUCAGACGUGAAAUCCCUCGGCUUAACCGGGGAACUGCGUCUGAUACUGGAUGGCUUGAGGUUGGGAGAGGGAUGCGGAAUUCCAGGUGUAGCGGAUGAAAUGCGUAGAUAUCUGGAGGAACACCGGUGGUGAAGGCGGCGAUCCUGGACCAAUUCUGACGCUGAGGAGCGAAAGCCAGGGGAGCAAACGGGG